rnacentral:rRNA from 1 species
AGCAGCCGCGGUAAUUCCAGCUCCAGUAGCGUAUAUUAAAGUUGUUGCAGUUAAAAAGCUCGUAGUUGAAUUUCGGGGUCAGUAGGCUGGUCAUGCCACAGGUAUGCACUGGUCUCACUGACUCCUCCUUCCUGAUGAACCGUAAUGCCAUUAAUUUGGUGUUGCGGGGAAUCUGGACUGUUACUUUGAAAAAUUAGAGUGUUUAAAGCAGGCUAACGCUUGAAUACAUUAGCAUGGAAUAAUGAAAUAGGACGUUCGAUCCUAUUUUGUUGGUUUCUAGGAUUGGCGUAAUGAUUAAUAGGGAUAGUUGGGGCAUUAGUAUUCAAUUGUCAGAGGUGAAAUUCUUGGAUUUAUUGAAGACUAACUACUGCGAAAGCAUUUGCC